rnacentral:rRNA from 1 species
CCUGGGAACUGCAUUUCGAACUGGCAAACUAGAGUGUGAUAGAGGGUGGUAGAAUUUCAGGUGUAGCGGUGAAAUGCGUAGAGAUCUGAAGGAAUACCGAUGGCGAAGGCAGCCACCUGGGUCAACACUGACGCUCAUGUACGAAAGCGUGGGGAGCAAACGGGAUUAGAUACCCCGGUAGUCCACGCCGUAAACGAUGUCUACUAGAAGCUCGGAACCUCGGUUCUGUUUUUCAAAGCUAACGCAUUAAGUAGACCGCCUGGGGAGUACGGCCGCAAGGUUAAAACUCAAAUGAAUUGACGGGGGCCCGCACAAGCGGUGGAGCAUGUGGUUUAAUUCGAUGCAACGCGAAGAACCUUACCUACACUUGACAUACAGAGAACUU